UACGGAGGGUGCAAGCGUUAUCCGGAUUCACUGGGUUUAAAGGGUGUGUAGGCGGGUGUUUAAGUCAGUGGUGAAAUCUCCAGGCUCAACCUGGAAACUGCCAUUGAUACUAUUCAUCUUGAAUUCUGUUGAGGUGGGCGGAAUAUAUCAUGUAGCGGUGAAAUGCUUAGAUAUGAUAUAGAACACCGAUUGCGAAGGCAGCUCACUAAACAGCGAUUGACGCUGAGGCACGAAAGCGUGGGGAUCAAACAGGG
rnacentral:rRNA from 1 species